CAGAUGCCAUAUUCUUGUUUAUUUCUAUUCCAAUACUGUGUGUGUUGUUUAUAUUGCUAUUGUUUGCUUUGAAACAGAAGACUAAAAUGAGAAAAAAUAAAAGCUUUUAUUCUAUGGAAAGAAAUGGACUUAGUACAAUGUCAAUCAGAACCAAUGAAUCAGUUGAAGCAUUCCCUGCAGAGAAUGUCCUUAUGACUAGUGAUCUUCCACACCACGAAACACUUUCCUUUCAGAAAUUUGUCACAUUUUAUAAUCCUCAAUUUGAAUAAGAACGUCAUGAUGAUGCAUACUAGUGAUUUUGGCAAUGGUUUACAACAGUGAUGACGAACAUAACCGAUAUUUCGGACAUACCAUCUGAGAUGAAUGUCUUGAUCAAGCAUACGACUGACAGUGAUAUGUGUGUGUAGUUUUAAGUUUGCAAACCAAAUGACAUACUUGGCUAUUGUUUUCAGUUAAACAGCUUUGGUUUGUAUUCAUAUAUGAUUUUAACAUAUCUAUGUGCAGGGAUCGGACAGAACAAAAUAAAAACAAAAUUAUAAUGAUCGUUCUCAUGUUAGGUACAAUCCAUUGAAGAAGAAACAUUUGAUGUUACAAUGUAUGUUAGUGCUUAAAAUGUUAUGAUAACAUUUAUUAGUCGUUCCAUAAAAAGGUAUUUUUGAAUGUAAACUCAUGAGUGGGUACCUAUAUUUUAUCCAACCACUGUUUGAAUGUCUGAACCUCAACACACAGGUGGUCUUAUAUAAAGAUUUGAAGAAUAUAUGUUGAAUAUUGUGACCAUGAUUUUGUUCAAUUAUACAUGUGUUUACUUAUAGUCAAUAAUUCAGAUCUUUUCUAUCAAUUUUCAUCCUCGGAGGACAGUAUUUGUGUGAUAAUUGCUGAUAAAAACAACAAGGAAUGUAGACAUACUUAGAAACUUAAGUGCUAAAAGAUAAUUGCAACUUAAUGGUUAAAAGAUAAUUGGAACUUAAUGGUUAAAAGAUCUUUUAUUCACGCUAAGUGUAUGGAAAUGCGGUUUCAAAUUUGUCAUAUCGGAGCCGUUUAUAGCUGACUAUGUGGUAUAAGUGUUGCUUAUUAUGGAAGUCCGUACGACGAUUUAGGGUUGUUUUCUUUUUUAUUCAUAAUAGUGGAUCAAAUAUAUUAUUAUAUUGUUUAAUGUUGCUCUUGUUGCACACAUUGUGUAUUAAUAUUAAA